GACGAACGCUGGCGGCGUGCCUAAUACAUGCAAGUAGAACGCUGAAGGAGGAGCUUGCUUCUCUGGAUGAGUUGCGAACGGGUGAGUAACGCGUAGGUAACCUGCCUGGUAGCGGGGAUAACUAUUGGAAACGAUAGCUAAUACCGCAUAAGAGUAGAUGUUGCAUGACAUUUGCUUAAAAGGUGCAAUUGCAUCACUACCAGAUGGACCUGCGUUGUAUUAGCUAGUUGGUGAGGUAACGGCUCACCAAGGCAACGAUACAUAGCCGACCUGAGAGGGUGAUCGGCCACACUGGGACUGAGACACGGCCCAGACUCCUACGGGAGGCAGCAGUAGGGAAUCUUCGGCAAUGGACGGAAGUCUGACCGAGCAACGCCGCGUGAGUGAAGAAGGUUUUCGGAUCGUAAAGCUCUGUUGUAAGAGAAGAACGAGUGUGAGAGUGGAAAGUUCACACUGUGACGGUAUCUUACCAGAAAGAGACGGCUAACUACGUG
rnacentral:rRNA from 1 species